rnacentral:rRNA from 1 species
UGAGGAAUCUUGCACAAUGGGCGAAAGCCUGAUGCAGCGACGCCGCGUGGAGGAUGAAGGUCUUCGGAUUGUAAACUCCUGUUAAACGGGAAGAAAGAUCUGUUUCUAAUACAAGCAGAUUAUGACGGUACCGUUAGAGAAAGCACCGGCUAACUUCGUGCCAGCAGCCGCGGUAAUACGAGGGGUGCAAGCGUUAUUCGGAUUGAUUGGGUGUAAAGGGUGUGCAGACGGCUUAUUAAGUCACUUGUUAAAUUCUUCGGCCUAACUGAAGGUCUGCAAGUGAUACUGAUGAGCUAGAGGGUGGAAGAGAGAAGUGGAAUUCGCGGAGUAGCGGUAAAAUGCGUAGAUCUCGAGAGGAACACCAAUGGCGAAGGCAGCUUCUUGGUCCAUUCCUGACGUUCAUACACGAAAGCGUGGGGAGCAAACA